AUUUAAUAAAAGAAUCACAAUUCGUGUUUAUUAACAGAUAAAUUAGUACAUCAUACCAUGAUAUGUAACAUAUAGUGUAGCAUUUUUUUACUGUGACAAGUAUGGUUUGUCAUGAAAGAAAAGUAUAUUUUAAACACUUUAUUUGACUACUUUUAUGAUUUAAAUAGCACAAGUGAAUAUGAAGAUAAAACCAGUCUAACAACCUUUACCUAAAUAAUAGCCUCGGAACUUUUUCAAUAUUCUGAUAUUUCACAAUUUUUAGUGUCUGGCACAAAAAAAUUUUUUUUUCUAAUGAACACAGCCAAAUUUAUUAAUAACCGAAGCAUCUGGCAUGCAUAAUCAGAAGAUCAUUCUAUAUAUUCAAGUUUCGUUCUAUAUAUUCAGAAGAUCAUUCUAUAUAUUCAGACUUUAAUUGUAAUAUAUAUAUAUGUAUAUAUAUAUAUAUAUAUAUAUAUAUAAUAUUUUCCUAAACGGCAUUCCAUAAUAUAUAUAUAUAUAUAUAUAUAUAUAUAUAUAUAUAUAUAUAUAUACACAUAUAUAUGACUGUUUGUGUAUAAAUAAACAAACAAUAGACAUGUGCUUUCAACCUAGACACAAUUUUACAAAAUUGUACUUUUUGCAUUACUACCACAAACUUCCAUAAGUGGGUCGAAAAUUACCUGCAUUCAUUUUCUGUUGAAUUUCAUGGGAACUUUGAUUAACACCUGCAAGUGUAAAACACAGAGGUGCUGUGGUACAACUUGACAUUGCCACCCUGAAUGUCUUCACCCUUUGUCACAGCUCAGCACCUUAAAGUCAAGAAUGGUAUCAUCAGUGCAUGAUGGGUCAUACUUUGAUGAUGAUGGGUCUCAAAGGAGCUCACUUCACCACAAAUGGAGGAGUCCACUGGAAGAUUUCUGCCAACUGCAAACCCUGAUCACUGAAGGUGUGGAGUGACAAAAGCAAUAACUUAACCACAGGAAACAAGUAGACACGGCCAACCAAAGAUAUCAAGAUUUCAGAUCCAAGUGAUGAAGAUCGUAAUGUCAGCAGUUGGUGUGAGAAAUGCAGCGUACCUGUGUGCAGGGACUACAGCCAGAAACAGUUUGAGGAGACAAGACAAGAAAUAAAAGAGGAAUUGCCUGGACAGUGAAACACACAGGCAUAUAGAUUCACACACACACAAAAUGAAUAUGGACAUUGUUUUACUGCUGUUGUGUAUUUUUCUUUUCUUUUUCAAUUUUCAAACUGUGUUCAAAAUGUUAAAAAAAGUAAAACAAAUAUAUUCUAAAGAAAAUAUAUUAAACACUAAUUCAUUCUUCUGAGGAUCAAAAUAUAAUACAAAUGAUUAUUCUUAACCGAAAUGAGAAAAGCAGCAUAAAAACUGGUUAAUUUUUGACCCACUUGGAGGAGUGCAGGUACCAGUCACUCACGUGUCUAAGAUUUAAAAACGUGGAAGUAAUUUUCCUCUUUGAAAUUCUAAGCUGACGUUGUUGUAUUUCCCGUGAAUUCUCAGAAACAUGGUUUCUAAUGACAUACUUGCUCUGAAUGUCUUUACUUUGACCUCCAGCUCUACUGUGAGGCACGAUCGGUGUGUUGUUCUCAUCCAUAGUCAGGUCACAAAGGUAAACAAAGUUCUCCAGCUGUUCUUCAUCCCAGCAACUUUGUUCAGCCUCCGGGAAAUUUCAGAGACCAGAUGAGAUAGAAAAACCUGCCAGUUUUUGGCGAAAACUUCUGAACUUCAUCAAGAUCAACGGCAAACUGUUUAAGUUUACCUGCUUGCUGCAGGUACUACUACUGCACAUUCACCUAAUCUAUAUUUUAUAUAUAAUGUCACCCCCCCACCCCCACCCCCCACCCCCUUGCACAAGUCGAGGAGCGUGUCAGGUUACAUUUCACUGUGUGUUAUACCUGUAUAACUAUGCAUGUGAUGAAUAAAGAACCUUGAAGUUUUCAUCUCCCUCAAUGGACAAUGAACAUUAAAAAAAAGUAUAAUUUGUAGAGAAAAGUAACAAACAGUUUUACCAGCAGAUGGCAGCAGACUUCCAUUGUUACUGAAUCAACUGCAGUGACUUCGCUGAGAAUAAAACAUUUAAACAUUUUUUGCACCACUGCUUUUGUAAACUGCAACAGCUUUUCACACUUUUCUCAUCUUCUGUGAAACAGCGGGGACAUUUUCCCUUUUGUCUAUGUCAAGUUUGUGUCUCAGUCUCUGUCUCAGUGUUAUUUUCCUGUGUUGUUGUGAUAGCCCCUUGUGUUGUGUGCAUUAUGUUCAAUUUUGCCUCCUGUGUCUAGUCUUAGUUCCUGAUCCUAGCCACGUUAGUUGGUUCCUAGGUUUGUGGAUUCCAGCAGUCCUGCACUUGGGUCCAUCUUCCUGCUUCCAUACAGCUGCCUCCAUGACAGUACGACAUGAUCAAACAUGGACCCAGCAGGUCUGGCGAGGGAUUGGCAGCGAGCAGCUUCUGCCUUUCUGAAAGAAAGAAGGAGGUAGGAGUCUCAGCCUGCCCCAGAGCAUGAGUUGCCCUUCUGCAGGAAUCAGUUGGCUCUAGAGGGAACUAGAAGGUGUUGAACCUCCUCAUCUGCUGCCUUUUCCCCGCCUGAUCCUCUGGUAAGAGUCUGGAUGGAUGGAAGAAACUGAUUCUAUGCAUAGGUGUGCUUCACACACACAAUGAGUUGAGAUCAGGAGGUUGAUCGAUUGAUUGACUGUAAUUUGGUGGCACAUGAGGACCCAACAGCCAAUGGGUUGGAGGGGAUCAAAAAUGUAAUUCAUUCGAUGAGAUGACCAUCAAUUUAUACUUUUAUGUAAUUUGUUUUUUUUCUGGAUCUUUGGUUUAAAUUUGUGUCUCUUCGUUAAGAUGAAACUGGGAAAGACUUUAAAAGAUAAUCAGACUUUUGGGAUGAUCCAAUAUUGCUAUUUAUUUUUUUACAUUACAAUCAUCACAGUAUGAUGCUAUGGUAGGUUAUAUUCUGACACACAAUUUCUGUACUAUGACAGUAUAUGCACUCAGUGUUCAAUUAAACGGUCAAAUGUACAAAUAUAUAUGAUUGUAUAUUUGUAUAUGGGAAAAAAAUGUCCCUCAUGGUGCCAGUUGUACUCUAUUGUCUAAAGGCAGGCCCAAAUUCAACAGAUUAAUUUAUGAUUAAUAUAUUCAGUCAUUUUUAAAUAUCAUUUUUGGUCAUUCAUAAGCUGAAUAUUUUCUGUCAGUCCUCGUUUUUAAGGCAGUCAGUAUGAAAUUGAUGGUUUUAAGAAUUCCUAAUUAUUCAAAUCAGAAGACGUCUUUCUUUCAUUAUAUUAUUAUUCACUGCUGCCUGUUGUUCUUUUGUCUGUAACUAUAGAAGUUGAAGUAACCAUGAAGAAGAAAAUACAGCAGCAGGAGAUUCACUAUUCAGUUAUUAGGUGGUCUGAGAGGUUUCAGACUGCAACCGUUCAAAAGGAGGACUUUUUUCUUUAUGGCUUUUGUACCACAAAAUAGCACCACCAGCAGCAACACCAACAACGGCAACUGCAAGAAGUGACAGACCAACAAUCAGUCCAACAGAUGGUCCUUGUGGACCUGCAGGUGAGAAACAGGUGUGAGGUGUCAGCUGUCAGGUAGGUGAUGAGUGAAGAACAGAACAGAAUCCAUUUCCUCUUCAAACUGCUGUCAGACAUUAUCUACUGCACUCUGAUCACAUCACUCAGACCAGCUGCUUUCUACAAAGUCUCAUCAACAACAUCUUUAGAAACAAACAUCAACAACCAGGAAGCAGCUUCACCUCUGAUCACACACACACUCAACUCUACUCACUCACCUGGAGGAUCAACAACACUCAGGGUGAUGUUGCAGAGGAGCAUCUCUUCAGCACCAUUUUGAUUUGCUCCUUUCAUGUAGACACGACACUCAUAGUUUCCAUUAUCAGCAGUCGUCACAUCCUUCAGAAUCAAAGACACGUCUCCAUCCUUCAUCUGUCUGUUCUGCAGAUCCACCCGGUUCUUAAAAGAUGGAUGCUGGUUUGAUGGAUCGAACUGCUCGUCUCGAUACAAGAGCACAUAUUCAUCUCCCAGGUCAGCUCUGCUCCACUGUACAGCUAAGAUGACAUUGUUGUUUGGAGAUUUACAUGUCAGAGUGACGUUCUGUCCAGAUUUGAUUUUUUCCUGAUCUGAAUGAACAAACAACACAGACGAGAGAGGUUAAAGUUCAAAGUGCAAACAGAGACCACAGAGUCAAACAGAAGAAGUAAAUAGCACUGUCUGCAGUUUUACCUUUAAUGAAUGAACAUAAAUAAGUCAGUCUGCUGUAUUAACAGCUGUUAUGGACAAAUAUUAAAACAUAUUUUCAAGUGCUGCCUCUUCUGUGUUACAGGAGAUGAAAACAUGAAGAAGAAAGAAUGUCCUGUGUCAGCUCUACAUGUGUAACAAUGUUUUUAAAGAUUUAUGAGCUCUAAUUCAGCUUUAACUAGAUCACAUCAGCCACUUAAAGACAUUUAAAGACAUCGUGGAUACGGAUUUCAUGUUAUUUUGUGAAUCGGGACAUUGUGUUAGAUUAAAAACAAGUCCAAUCUCACCUGCAGAAACAAACAGGAGGCAGACAGACAGUAAAGUCCAGGAGAGAGGUGCUGAAGUUACAGCGGACAUUUCUGCUUCAUGCAGGUUGGAUUGUUAGAAAAGGCCAAAAGAUGCUAAUAUUUUCAAAGAACAGCAGAAAACCUCCGUUUCAAACCUAACAAGGUUACACUGGAGCUUUCAAAUAAAGGUGAUAGUCUGUUGCUGUGAUAACAGUGUUUGUUGUUAAUGAUUCACUCUGUUUGUCUCCACAGGAAGGCAGCUCAAGCAUCAAACAUGUGGCUCGAGGCCACAGCUGGAACAGGACAGUCUGGCCUACUGGAAGAGAGAGGAGACUCUUCUCUUCUACUGAAUAAAGGUGGAACGGAGUCCAGGCAGCUCAGACUGACGGACACAGACUGAGGUAAAGAUCACUGACCAGCAGAGCUUUAACCGCCGCUUUAAUAAACAACUCUGUGCUCGGACAACCUUUCAAAGUGCAGACUGGCACCAUGUGAUUGUGUUUGCAGAAAAAGAUUUUAUCGUGAGUGUCAGGAAACUUUUCCACUGACAGCUGAGAUGAACAUGAAGGUCAUACAAGGAAUAUUUCAGUAAGAAGGGACAGUUUCAAUCCUGGCUGUGUGAAUGCAUGAUGCUCAGCUGUCUGUGAAGUCUGGAUGCACUUCUGUGUGCAGGCUCAGAGUUUCAGAGACACAAAGAUUUGAAGUGUAAUGACAGCACAGUUCACACUGAGCUGGGUUUCACCUGACAGCAGGGAACCUGACCCAUAUUUCACCUCACAUAGAUCAAAUUAAAGUCCCCUCAUGUUGUGUUAACACAGAAAACAUGAGUGUAAUCUAUAAAUCCUCUUUAACAGCAGAUGUUAGAUUUCACAGAGAGGCUUGCCUUUUCCCAAACUUUAGCCCACAUGCUCUGAAUUAACUCUCAGUUUGGUAUUUAUUCUUUUUAGAAGCUGCAAGUGUGAUAAAAGUUUCAGCAGGAGUCACCAAACCCCAACAUAGGACAGAAAACCUGAGUAAAAUUUUAAGAUGGAGACACGAAGC
ensembl:lncRNA